CCUACGGGAGGCAGCAGUGGGGAAUAUUGGACAAUGGGCGAAAGCCUGAUCCAGCAAUGCCGCGUGAGUGAUGAAGGCCUUAGGGUUGUAAAGCUCUUUUACCAGGGAUGAUAAUGACAGUACCUGGAGAAUAAGCUCCGGCUAACUCCGUGCCAGCAGCCGCGGUAAUACGGAGGGAGCUAGCGUUGUUCGGAAUUACUGGGCGUAAAGCGUACGUAGGCGGUUAUUCAAGUCAGAGGUGAAAGCCUGGAGCUCAACUCCAGAACUGCCUUUGAAACUAGAUAGCUAGAAUCUUGGAGAGGUGAGUGGAAUUCCGAGUGUAGAGGUGAAAUUCGUAGAUAUUCGGAAGAACACCAGUGGCGAAGGCGACUCACUGGACAAGUAUUGACGCUGAGGUACGAAAGCGUGGGGAGCAAACAGGAUUAGAUACCCUGGUAGUCCACGCCGUAAACGAUAGAUAACUAGACUGUUCGGUCGUACUACGACGCGUGUAGUGGUCGCGAGACGUAACGAC
rnacentral:rRNA from 1 species